rnacentral:rRNA from 1 species
GACGAACGCUGGCGGCGUGCUUAACACAUGCAAGUCGAACGGAAAGGCCCUGCUUUUGUGGGGUGCUCGAGUGGCGAACGGGUGAGUAACACGUGAGUAACCUGCCCUUGACUUUGGGAUAACUUUAGGAAACUGGGGCUAAUACCGGAUAGGAGCUCCUGCUGCAUGGUGGGGGUUGGAAAGUUUCGGCGGUUGGGGAUGGACUCGCGGCUUAUCAGCUUGUUGGUGGGGUAGUGGCUUACCAAGGCUUUGACGGGUAGCCGGCCUGAGAGGGUGACCGGCCACAUUGGGACUGAGAUACGGCCCAGACUCCUACGGGAGGCAGAAGUGGGGAAUAUUGCACAAUGGGCGGAAGCCUGAGGCAGCAACGCCGCGUGCGGGAUGACGGCCUUCGGGUUGUAAACCGCUGUCGCCUGUGACGAAGCGUGAGUGACGGUAAUGGGUAAAGAAGCACCGGCUAACUACGUG